AUGGACACACAUACACCACCUGCAUACACACACCAUACACACAUCCCCCACACCACACAAAUCACGAACACAUGCAUCGCACUCACAUCUCAUACACACGCCACACACCUCAUACAUACACACACAUCACACACACUACACACAUACAUCACACUCACAUCUCAUGCACACACACUCCGCACACACCACACACAUCUCAUACACACACACUACACACAUACAUCACAUUCACAUCCCAUACACACUCCACACACAUCUCAUACAUACACACACAUCACACACACUACACACAUACAUCACACAUCUCAUACACACGCGCAUCACACACACCACACAAUCUCAUACAUACACACACACUACACACAUACAUCACACUCACAUCUCAUACACACACACUACACACAUCUCACACACACACACUACACACAUACAUCACAUACACAUCUCCUACACACUCCACACACAUCUCAUACAUACACCUCAUACAUACACACACAUCACACACACUACACACAUACGUUACAUCUCAUACACACACCACACACAUCUCAUACAUACACACACUACACACAUACAUUACAUCUCCUACACACUCCACACACAUCUCAUACAUACACACACAUCAUACACACAUACAUCACACUCACAUCUCAUACACACACACUCCACACACACCACACACAUCUCAUACACACACACACUACACACAUACAUCACAUUCACAUCUCAUACACACUCCACACACAUCUCAUACACACACACCACACACUUCUCAUACAUACACACACAUCACACACACUACACACAUACAUUACAUCUCAUACACACACACCACACACAUCUCAUACAUACACACACAUCACACACACUACACACAUACAUCACACUCACAUCUCAUACACACACACUCCACACACACCCCACACAAUCUCAUACAUAGACACUACACACAUAUAUCACACAUCACACACACUACACACAUACAUCACAUCACAUCUCAUACACACACACUCACAUCUCAUACACACACACCACACACAUCUCAUACAUACACACUCCACACACACCACACAAUCUCAUACAUACACACACACUCCACACACUCCACACAUAUAUCGCACUCAUAUAUCAUCACACACACACCCCACACACCUCAUACACACACACUACACACACCCACCACACACCUCAUACAUACACAUACAUCACACUCAUAUCUCAUACACACACACUCCACACACACCACACAUAUCUCAUGCACACACCACACAUCGCAUACACACUCCACACACAUCGCAUACAUCACACUCCCAUCGCACACACCCCACAAAUACAUAG
rnacentral:lncRNA from 1 species